rfam:Hordeum vulgare subsp. vulgare, WGS project CAJW01000000 data, contig: morex_contig_1564382
CACAUACUUCCUCCGUUCAAAAAUACUUGUCUCAGUGAUGAAUGUAUCUAGACUUAUUUUAGUUAUAGAUACAUUCAUUAUAUUCAUUUAUAGGAUAAGUAAUUUCGGACGGAGGGAGUAUUAG